AUACGUAGGUGACAAGCGUUAUCCGGAUUUACUGGGCGUAAAGGGCGUGUAGGCGGUCUUGCAAGUCAGAAGUGAAAUUCCUGAGCUCAACUCGGGCGCUGCUUCUGAAACUGCAGGACUUGAGUGCUGGAGGGGAUAGCGGAAUUCCUAGUGGAGCGGUAAAAUGCGCAGAUAUUAGGAAGAACACCGGUGGCGAAGGCGGCUAUCUGGCAGUAACUGACGCUGAGGCGCGAAAGCGUGGGGAGCAAACAGGAUUAGAUACCCUGGUAGUCCACACUGUAAACGAUGAAUGCUAGGUGUAGGAGGUAUCGACCCCUUCUGUGCCGCAGUAAACACAGUAAGCAUUCCGCCUGGGGAGUACGGUCGCAAGAUUAAAACUCAAAGGAAUUGACGGGG
rnacentral:rRNA from 1 species